ACCUUGGCUGUAGACUGCUUACU
rnacentral:miRNA from 1 species